GAUGAACGCUGGCGGCGUGCCUAAUACAUGCAAGUCGAGCGAACAGACGAGGAGCUUGCUCCUCUGACGUUAGCGGCGGACGGGUGAGUAACACGUGGAUAACCUACCUAUAAGACUGGGAUAACUUCGGGAAACCGGAGCUAAUACCGGAUAAUAUAUUUAACCACAUGGUUCAAUAGUGAAAGACGGUUUUGCUGUCACUUAUAGAUGGAUCCGCGCCUCAUUAGCUAGUUGGUAAGGUAACGGCUUACCAAGGCAGCGAUGCGUAGCCGACCUGGAAGGGUGAUCGGCCACACGGGAACGGAGACACGGCCAAGACUCCUACGGGAGGCAGAAGUAGGGAAUCUUCCGCAAUGGGCGAAAGCCUGACGGAGCAACGCCGCGUGAGUGAUGAAGGUCUUCGGAUCGUAAACCUCUGUUAUUAGGGAAGAACAAAUGUGUAAGUAACUAUGCACGUCUUGACGGUACCUAAUCAGAAAGCCACGGCUAACUACGUG
rnacentral:rRNA from 1 species